GAGUAAUGCCUAGGGAUCUGCCCAGUCGUGGGGGAUAACAGUUGGAAACGACUGCUAAUACCGCAUACGCCCUACGGGGGAAAGGAGGGGACCUUCGGGCCUUUCGCGAUUGGAUGAACCUAGGUGGGAUUAGCUAGUUGGUGAGGUAAUGGCUCACCAAGGCGACGAUCCCUAGCUGUUCUGAGAGGAUGAUCAGCCACACUGGGACUGAGACACGGCCCAGACUCCUACGGGAGGCAGCAGUGGGGAAUAUUGCACAAUGGGGGAAACCCUGAUGCAGCCAUGCCUCGUGUGUGAAGAAGGCCUUCGGGUUGUAAAGCACUUUCAGUAGGGAGGAAAGGUUAGCGGUUAAUAACCGUUAGCUGUGACGUUACCUACAGAAGAAGGACCGGCUAACUCCGUGCCAGCAGCCGCGGUAAUACGGAGGGUCCGAGCGUUAAUCGGAAUUACUGGGCGUAAAGCGUGCGCAGGCGGUUU
rnacentral:rRNA from 1 species